rnacentral:rRNA from 10 species
CUUUGUGAUUCAUGACUGGGGUGAAGUCGUAACAAGGUAACCGUAGGGGAACCUGCGGUUGGAUCACCUCCUUACCUGAAAGAAGC